rnacentral:rRNA from 1 species
AUUGAACGCUGGCGGCAGGCCUAACACAUGCAAGUCGAGCGGAUGAGAAGAGCUUGCUCUUCGAUUCAGCGGCGGACGGGUGAGUAAUGCCUAGGAAUCUGCCUGGUAGUGGGGGACAACGUUUCGAAAGGAACGCUAAUACCGCAUACGUCCUACGGGAGAAAGCAGGGGACCUUCGGGCCUUGCGCUAUCAGAUGAGCCUAGGUCGGAUUAGCUAGUUGGUGAGGUAAUGGCUCACCAAGGCGACGAUCCGUAACUGGUCUGAGAGGAUGAACGGUCAAACUGGAACUGAGACACGGUCCAGACUCCUACGGGGGGCAGCAGUGGGGAAUAUUGGACAAUUGGCGAAAGCCUGAUCCAGCCAUGCCGCGUGUGUGAAGAAGGUCAUCGGAUUGUAAAGCACUUUAAGUUGGGAGGAAGGGCAGUAAGCUAAUACCUUGCUGUUUUGACGUUACCGACAGAAUAAGCACCGGCUAACUCUGUGCCAGCAGCCGCCGUAACAC